rnacentral:ncRNA from 2 species
CUUCCCAUCGAAGAUUCGGGCUUUUUUAUUGUAGUGUGAGAUAUAAGGGAAUCCCCGCCGAGUUGAAAACUCGGUUAACGGGAGCUGCCCCGCAACUGUAAUCGGUGACGAAAUCUGCAAAAUGCCACUGUCCGCUUCCGGCGGAUGGGAAGGUGUAGAAAUCAGGAUGAUCCGAAAGCCAGGAGACCUGUCUUACGCGUUUUUCCAGC